rnacentral:rRNA from 1 species
AUGGAAGGGCCAUCGCUCAACGGAUAAAAGCUACCCCGGGGAUAACAGGCUUAUCUCCCCCAAGAGUUCACAUCGACGGGGAGGUUUGGCACCUCGAUGUCGGCUCAUCGCAUCCUGGGGCUGUAGUCGGUCCCAAGGGUUGGGCUGUUCGCCCAUUAAAGCGGUACGCGAGCUGGGUUCAGAACGUCGUGAGACAGUUCGGUCCCUAUCCGUCGUGGGCGUAGGAAAUUUGAGAGGAGCUGUCCUUAGUACGAGAGGACCGGGAUGGACAUACCUCUGGUGUACCAGUUGUCGUGCCAACGGCAUAGCUGGGUAGCUAUGUAUGGACGGGAUAAGUGCUGAAAGCAUCUAAGCAUGAAGCCCCCCUCAAGAUGAGAUUUCCCAACUUCGGUUAUAAGAUCCCUCAGAGAUGAUGAGGUUAAUAGGUUCGAGGUGGAAGCGUGGUGACACGUGGAGCUGACGAAUACUAAUCGAUCGAAGACUUAAUCAAUUU